UACGUAGGGACCAAGCGUUGUUCGGAUUUACUGGGCGUAAAGGGCGCGUAGGCGGCAAAUUAAGUCAUCUGUGAAAUCUCCGAGCUUAACUCGGAACGGUCAGGUGAUACUGAUCUGCUAGAGUGCGGAAGGGGCAAUCGGAAUUCCUGGUGUAGCGGUGAAAUGCGCAGAUAUCAGGAAGAACACCAGUGGCGAAGGCGGCUUCCUGGCCUGUUCUCGACGCUGAGGCGCGAAAGCUAGGGGAGCAAACGGG
rnacentral:rRNA from 1 species